GUAAAGUUGCAAUUCAAGGAUAAAGCACUGGAUUAGUUAACAGUAAAGAGAGUUUUGCCGCUGACUUCAACAGAUUUUCAUCUCAGGUCUUCAGCCUGUCUCCACACCUACAGUUGGACACGUCAUCCCAAAGAUCACUGGGCUCCAUGCUGUCCUGUCGGAUGUGGCUCCCUUUUAAAUGGGAAAAGGGAUAGAAAGUUUUGCAUGAAUAGCACUGUUUAUAAAAGGCACAUCAAAUAAAGAGAAAAAUAAUGACUGAUUUGCUAGUUUUGCCAUCUAGGAAUUGCCUUCUCACUAGAGUAAAUAAUGGGUUUCCUAUAAAACCGUAAUCCAAUAUUAUUUACAUUUUUUAAAACUUCUCCUUUUCCAGGCCAGUUUUUUACAAUGUGCCCAUGUCCCCACCCCACAGUAAGACUUGUAAAGCUCAUUCCCACAAUGGAGAUACCUAUGUGUACAAAUAAUUCUGUGACUACAGCUCAAAACUGGUUCAUUCCUGAACAAUGGCAUUCGUAUGAAUGUUGGUGCUGGGAUACAAUCAACUCCGCUGCUUUUGUGGUUAAUUCUUUUCAUUGUCAGUAUAGACCCUUGAACCAAUAAACCUGAAAAUUUACUGGAAUCACA